GUUGGUAGAUUCAGCUGUGCUGGGCAUCCUGGCUGAGUAACAGAGACAGUGAAUGUAAACAAUUAAGAUGUUCUAAUAAAGGAACCCAAAGAGGGUCCCAGAGGCUAGAAUAUCUACCUCCUGGGGGCAAACAGAGGUUUCCUAAGAACAUGUCAUCUGAGCAGAGUCCUCAAGUAAGACUAGGAGUUGCAUGGGGAGAGGAGGGGAAGGUAGGCCUGCAGACGGCUAGGUGAGCACAGGCACGGGGUGUGGAACAUUUAGCUUAUGGCAAGAGCAGAGGGUACAAAGGAAGGAGAGAGAGGAGGUGGGAUGGGAAGGUCAAUUGUGCCAACUAAGAUUUUUUUCCUGUAGUAAGGGGGAGGGAGGGCCUGAAGGACUUUAAACAGGUGAGCCAUGCAAUCAGCUGUGCUUUGGGAGGAUAGCUCUGGUGGUGACAUGGAGCCUUGAGGAUGGGACUAUACGCAUGAGACUGGGAUCAGAGUGGAGGCAGCUGGCAAGGAGGCAGUCAGGAGACCCUACUAAUAUAGGGAAUCCAAAUGAAGGAGAAAAAUCAUGAUGGCACAGCUAGAAACUAAUAGAGAAGAAAAAAUACCCCAGGCAUUUUGGCCUUGUUUUACAACAUAUUUCUUAGCUUUUUGAUGGCAAUGGAAGCUUUUUUGAAGUUGUCUUUUGUUUCCUGCCUUUACUGUAUGCUCUGAAUUCCCUUCUCUUUCAUGCUUUUUGGUUUGCAUCUAUUCUUUCAUAUUGGAGGCUUUGCUCAAACAUUCUGUGGACCUUAUCUGUUUGCAUAUAUUUAAAUGCAAGGCACUGAAAGACAAAAGACCUAUUCAAGGCAGAGUACAAAGUGGACCAGGGCAGGCUGAUUUCUCAACCUCUCUGUCGUGAGUUGACUCGUGUACUCCCAAAAGCUAUGUUGAAGUUCUAACCCCGGUACCUGUGAAUGUGGCCAUGUUUGGAAAUAGGGUCUUUGCAGAUGUUAGUUAUCAAGGUUUUCUUAGUGUGAAAUAUGAACUCAUGAGCAUCUGGCCUGGGAACUGGACCAGUUUUAAAUCUCGUGUUGAGAGCCGGAAGAUGCUGGAGAAGGAAUGUGGUGGAAUGACUGCCUGAGAAUGAACCAUUCUCCAGUGAGAGGGGGCUUCGAUAUUGAAAGGGCAAUUUGGCCUUAACUUGGAAAUGCUGGAGAUUGAUUGCAUACAAUCUGUCCUGCUAGUGAGAGAAGCAAGGACUGCAUCUAAGUGCAACAUGAAGACUUUUGGUCCCAAGCUUUCCUCCAACUUCAGUGGGAGGCAGCCCAAAACCACCGUCGGUUCAAGAAUACAAGUGACCUGCAAUUCUUGGAAAGACUCCCCCAAUUCUUCUCCCAAUAUGUGGUCAGCUUUUCCAGCAGGAUUAGGGAGGGAGGAGUUUCAGCUGUGCUUCUAAGAUCUUCCAGAAUGAAUUUUCUACCUCAAAAAUCAAGGACUUUUCUGGAAACUGCAGUCAGAGGACAGAACAUCAGCCUCAAGCUGGAAAAACAUUUAUUUUGUGGUGGGGUGUGUACCUCAGUAUUCCCUGUGCUAGAAGAAAAGAAGCACUUUCAAGGAAGAGAAAUGGAAAUGUAAAGGAGAAGGCCUGCCAGUUCCUACGAAUGAGAAAUGAUCUUCCACCAUCACUAAGCACACUUACGGUUAACAUCGCGAACAUCAGCUGACACACGUUGAAGCUCCAUGAACAUCCGGAGAGCAGCUGUGAUCAUGGCAUCAACGUCGAGAGAAAAGUCAUCAAAAUGAAUGUCAUCGAUGGCAAGUUCUGACACCAGAGGGAUGUUGGCUGCCUAGAAAAGCAAAAGACAUAAGUCAAGCCAAGUUCACCAGCUUUCCCAAACCCCCAUCCUGCUCUCCUCCCCUGCUUAUCAGAAGUGCCACAUAAAUCAGGCCUGACCUGCACUUACACCCUGAUACAGCUAAACUCUGAGCUGUAAAUGUCUUUUGUUUCUGAACUGCAAAUGCCCCAAGCAAAUGAAGGUGGGGGCAGGGUUGGGGGCGGGGGGAGGGAAACUAAUCUGAAGAUAAAAUACACGCACUGGAUCUAGCCUGCAGAAUUUAUAAUACAGAACUGUCAAGUUUAUGGAAACUGUGGUCAUACAAUAUAUUCUGAUGCAUAUUACAGAGCACUAAAUGCAAGAAACAUCUGGGCAGCCAGCAGCUGUGAAUUUUAAUUGAUGCUAUUCAGGAGAAGGAGAAGGGAAUACACCACUUUGCCUUGUUUCUUAUAUCCUUAUAUCCUGUAGCUUGCACGUGUUCUUUGUUACACACGUGUUCUGUAUAUUCAGAAUGAUCGAAAGGAUCAGACAGCACAUCUCUGGUGGGAAAUAUGUUGCCUUAAUAAAAUAGAGAUAUCUGAAGGUUUAGCAUAAGCCUAUGUUUCACUGAGGAGAUCAAUUUUGCUUUCUUGUUUAGCUUCAUUCUAUAUAAACAUCACAACAUAAUUACAAUACUGGUCAUACAUAUUCAAGGUUUUCAAAACACCCAUGUUAGGCAACUGUCAAUCAGCUGCCCACAAACGAGCCUAAAGAGGAGAA
rnacentral:lncRNA from 1 species